rnacentral:rRNA from 1 species
UACGUAGGGGGCAAGCGUUGUCCGGAUUUAUUGGGCGUAAAGAGCGUGUAGGCGGCCUGACAGGUCUGCUGUGAAAACUCGAGGCUCAACCUCGAGACGCCGAUGGAAACCAUGUGGCUAGAGUCCGGAAGAGGAGAGUGGAAUUCCUGGUGUAGCGGUGAAAUGCGCAGAUAUCAGGAAGAACACCCGUGGCUAAGGCGGCUCUCUAGUACGGUACUGACGCUGAGACGCGAAAGCGUGGGGAGCGAACAGG